rnacentral:rRNA from 1 species
UACGGGGGGGGCAAGCGUUGUUCGGAAUUACUGGGCGUAAAGGGCUCGUAGGUGGCCAACUAAGUCAGACGUGAAAUCCCUCGGCUUAACCGGGGAACUGCGUCUGAUACUGGAUGGCUUGAGUUCGGGAGAGGGAUGCGGAAUUCCAGGUGUAGCGGUGAAAUGCGUAGAUAUCUGGAGGAACACCGAUGGCGAAGGCAAUCCCCUGGACCUGUACUGACGCUCAUGCACGAAAGCGUGGGGAGCAAACAGG